GCGUCUGGCCUGCAGAUGCUAUCCAGCCAGUUUUGUGAGGAAGAUGACAACUCCCAAGACAUGAAUGCUGCACAAUUGGCCUGUGAACUCCCCUGAAGCCCAUCCAGACAAAUUUUGCAGAUGCUAUGGCACCAGUUACUGAAAACACAACUAACAGCAAACCGCAGGCAGAUGCAAGCAGACAGAUGUUUCUGCAAGUGGAAGACAUGAGAGCGUUCUGUACGUGGAGUGGUGGGGUAAAGGGCCAGCAAGGGAGUUGGGGCUGAAUCGUGGCAUUGUUGCCCAAAAUGAAGCUUUCAGAGGGAAAAAGCACACAGAACAGGGGAGGAAGAUGAGUCUGCACUUUGCUUCCUCGGAUGGACUGGCUCGUUGGUUCCUUUCUUUCCCCGGUACCCCUUCUCCACUUGACCUUGCUUCUGAGAGACUGAGGACCUUGUAGUGGAAGGUGAAUAUGAAAUGAUGCACAACCCCAACAUUUAUGCAGUGUGGCCUACUAGGUCCCUUAAAAGGCUGUUGCCUGGGCCAAAUUGGCUGUCCACUUUUCAGUGGGAGCACAGAAGAUGUCUAAGUGGAGGACCUUCUUCACCAAGAAGAAAUGCAACUCAGAACUUUUCCUGGAUCCACUGUUUGGGGGGG